rnacentral:rRNA from 1 species
UACGUAGGGUGCGAGCGUUAAUCGGAAUUACUGGGCGUAAAGCGUGCGCAGGCGGUUUUGUAAGCCAGAUGUGAAAUCCCCGGGCUUAACCUGGGAAUGGCAUUUGGGACUGCAAGGCUGGAGUUUGGCAGAGGAGACUGGAAUUCCUGGUGUAGCAGUGAAAUGCGUAGAUAUCAUUUGGAACGCCAAUGGUGAAAACAGGUAGCUGGGGUUGUCCUGACGCUGAGACACGAAAGCCAGGGGAGCAAACGGG